UCUUAGGUUUACCCUAAUCCAAUUAGGUUAGCAUUGAUUAGAUCAACCAUGACUCAAAUCCUAAUCCAUUUAGGUAAAUGAUAAUUUGAUUAACUUAAAUUAAACAUGAUUUCUAAUCAAAUUAGAACUAUAAAUUUAAUUUAAUCUAUAAUCAUUAAUUCUAAAUACUUUAGAUCAAUGAAUUAUAGUUAAAUAAAUCCAUCGAUAAAAAUGCUAAUCCAUGUCUGAUGCAUCUUUUCCAUGAUCAAAUUUUUUCAGCUCCACACAUACCUCGGGC
rnacentral:lncRNA from 1 species